rnacentral:rRNA from 1 species
AGGCGGGACUGGUCGUCGCGUCACAGAUGCGCGAGCCGCGUGAAGAAUGACGGCCUUCGGGUUGUACCCUCUUUCAGCAGGGAAGAAGCGAGAGUGACGGUACCUGCAGAAGAAGCGCCGGCUAACUACGUGCCAGCAGCCGCGGUAAUACGUAGGGCGCAAGCGUUGUCCGGAAUUAUUGGACGUAAAGAGCUCGUAGGCGGCUUGUUGCGUCGGAUGUGAAAGCCCGGGGCUUAACCCCGGGUCUGCAUUCGAUACGGGCAGGCUAAAGUGUGGUAGGGGAGAUCGGAAUUCCUGGUGUAUUGGUGAAAUGCCCAGAUAUCAGGAGGAACACCGGUGGCGAAGGCGGAUCUCUGGGCCAUUACUGACGCUGAGGAGCGAAAGCGUGGGGAGCGAACAGGAUUAGAUACCCUGGUAGUCA